UUGCUGCCCUCAAGCACGGCUUGUGUGUUGGGCCCCGUCCUCCGAUCCCGGGGGACGCCCGAAAGGCAGCGGCGGCACCGAGUCCGGUCCUCGAGCGUAUGGGGCUUUGUCACCCGCUCUGUAGGCCCGGCCGGCGCUUGCCGAUCAACCAAUUUUUCCAGGUUGACCUCGGAUCAGGUAGGGAUACCCGCUGAACUUAA
rnacentral:misc_RNA from 1 species